AGCGUAGACGGAUGGGCAAGUCUGAUGUGAAAACCCGGGGCUCAACCCCGGGACUGCAUUGGAAACUGUUCAUCUAGAGUGCUGGAGAGGUAAGUGGAAUUCCUAGUGUAGCGGUGAAAUGCGUAGAUAUUAGGAGGAACACCAGUGGCGAAGGCGACUUUCUGGACUGUAACUGACACUGAGGCUCGAAAGACGAGGUAGGUGAACG
rnacentral:rRNA from 1 species